rfam:Desulfobacula toluolica Tol2 complete genome
AAAGUCCAGUCUCAAAAGUGCUGACCCAGUACAUUGAGUAUCGAGCGAGUCUUGGGCGGGUGUCAGGUGACUGCACUCGUUAAGCGUAGACAGAGAGUCUGUAGACCGGAAGCCGAAAGGUUGAAGUGAUUGAGUCCCGUUAAGACCCUAAUUUAAGAGGGCUGAUGAUUUCGUGGUGUCAGGUAAAAUGGGGUCGGACCA